rnacentral:rRNA from 1 species
GAAUCUUGCGCAAUGGACGAAAGUCUGACGCAGCCACGCCGCGUGAGUGAAGAAGGCCUUCGGGUUGUAAAGCUCUGUCGAGCGGGACGAAAACCCUGGGAGUGAAUAGCUUCCAGGACUGACGGUACCGCUAAAGGAAGCACCGGCUAACUCCGUGCCAGCAGCCGCGGUAAUACGGAGGGUGCAAGCGUUGCUCGGAAUUAUUGGGCGUAAAGGGCAGGUAGGUGGUCUCACUUGUCUGGGGUGAAAUCCUUGAGCUUAACUCAAGAAGUGCCUCGGAAACGGUGGGACUAGAGUACUGGAGAGGGUCGUGGAAUUCCCGGUGUAGCGGUGAAAUGCGUAGAGAUCGGGAGGAACACCAGCGGCGAAGGCGGCGACCUGGACAGUAACUGACACUCAACUGCGAAAGCGUGGGGAGCAAACAG